AUGGGUUUUCUAGUAAUAUGGUGCAUGCUGUUCUUGUUAGUCAUGGGAGGACCUCAAAUAAAUGAUCAGAAGGUGCUUGUUGCAGAUGAUCGAUUGGAUUUAAGUAGUCUUAACUCUGGGAAUGACACUUUGUAUGGCAGUGAGACAUUUGGAAAUCAUACAUCGCCCUUGAAUACAAAUAACCACAACACAACUAUGUCCUCCACUAACCAGUAUCACUCUGAAUCUGAAACCCUAAAACAGAAUGGCUCUGUGUCCAAAGAACCAAAGUCUGGUGUUCAGCCCCUACCAAAUCCACGGGCAUCUCAACCACGUCAGUGCAAACCCAAACAGUCACAGGUGCCCCAGCAACAACUAAAAGCUUCCUGCCCACCCAAGAAGCAGCCUUCAUGCCGACCCUGUCCGCCCCAGGGGCCUAGCUGCUGGCCCUGCCCACACAAGGAGCAGUCUGCCUGCCGGCCUUGCCCAACCUUGAGCUGCCAGCUAAAGCAGCCCCAAAAGCCAGAGUUGUCUGAGCAUGUUGGUGACCCAGCACUGUAUCAGCCUCAGGUGACCCAGCAGACUGGUUUGCAUCCACCCAGUCUACAUCAGGUGACCCAGCAGACUGGUUUGCAUCCACCCAGUCUACAUCAGGUGACCCAGCAGACUGGUUUGCAUCCACCCAGUCUACAUCAGGUGACCCAGCAGACUGGUUUGCAUCCACCCAGUCUACAUCAGGUGACCCAGCAGACUGGUUUGCAGCCACCCAGUCUACAUCAGGUGACCCAGCAGACUGGUUUGCAGCCACCCAGUCUACAUCAGGUGACCCAGCAGACUGGUUUGCAGCCACCCAGUCUACAUCAGGUGACCCAGCAGACUGGUUUGCAGCCACACCAUCCACCCAGCGUCCCUGAGGAGAGCCGGCAGCCUGUUGUGCAUCCACCCAGCGUCCCUGAGGAGAGCCAACAGCCUGUUGUGCAUCCACCCAGCGACCCUGAGGAGAGCCGGCAGCCUGUUGUGCAUCCACCCAGCGACCCUGAGGAGAGCCGGCAGCCUGUUGUGCAUCCACCCAGCGACCCUGAGGAGAGCCAGCAGACUGGUGUGCCUCCACUCAUUACGCCUCAGGUGACCCAGCAGAAUGGUUUGCAUCCACCUCAUCUGCCUCACUUACCACAGCAGACUGGUUUGCAUCCACCUCAUCUGCCUCACUUACCACAGCAGACUGGUUUGCAUCCACACCAUCUACCCAGUCUAUUUCAGGUGACCCGGCAGACUGGUUUACAUCCACACCAUCUACCCAGUCUAUUUCAGGUGACCCAGCAGACUGGUUUACAUCCACACCAUCUACCCAGUCUAUUUCAGGUGACCCAGCAAACCAGUUUGCAUCCACACUUUCAACUUCAGCAGAAAGGCUUCCCACCCCUGCAUCCUCAGCCACCACAGGGCCCUCAGCAGGCUGCCUUUCUGCCCCAGUACCCCCAUCCACAGGUUCCCCAGCAGGCUGUCUUUCCAUCCCUGCACCCCCAUCCGCAGGUGCCCCAGCAGGCAGUCUUCCCGCCCCUGUACCUCCAUCCGCAGGUGCCCCAGCAGGCAGUCUUCCCGCCCCUGUACCUCCAUCCGCAGGUGCCCCAGCAGGCAGUCUUCCCGCCCCUGUACCUCCAUCCGCAGGUGCCCCAGCAGGCAGUCUUCCCGCCCCUGUACCUCCAUCCGCAGGUGCCCCAGCAGGCAGUCUUCCCGCCCCUGUACCUCCAUCCGCAGGUGCCCCAGCAGGCAGUCUUCCCGCCCCUGUACCUCCAUCCGCAGGUGCCCCAGCAGGCAGUCUUCCCGCCCCUGUACCUCCAUCCGCAGGUGCCCCAGCAGGCAGUCUUCCCGCCCCUGUACCUCCAUCCGCAGGUGCCCCAGCAGGCAGUCUUCCCGCCCCUGUACCCUCAGCCUCAGCCCAUGCCUCAGCAGACAUAUUACCAAUUCAAGCAGCUUCUGGAAGCCCAAUGGCCCCAACGGCCACUCUACCAGCUCCAGGCCAAGCAGCCACGCCACCAGCCUUUCAUGUCACACUACCAAUCCCGAUUGCCAAGCUACAGUCCCAAGGUGCCACUGUACCAGGCCAAGAAGCUUCAGCACCCCCGCAGAUCAGAUACCAACCUUAACGAUUUCAGAGCUUCAUGUCGGCACAUCAUCCUUGUGUUGAAGCAGAACCUGAGGGGAGCAGGGCACUGCAGUGUGGAACCCGCUGGACUAUUGGACUGA
rnacentral:lncRNA from 1 species